rnacentral:rRNA from 1 species
AAACUUUCAACAACGGAUCUCUUGGUUCUGGCAUCGAUGAAGAACGCAGCGAAAUGCGAUAAGUAAUGUGAAUUGCAGAAUUCAGUGAAUCAUCGAAUCUUUGGACGCACAUUGCGCCCCUCGGUAUUCCGGGGGGCAUGCCUGUUCGAGCGUCAUUG